CUCGCGAAGUUACUCCCCUACACAAGUCAACCGAUAACAACAUAUAGUCAGCAAAUAUUUAUAGUAAAAGAGUUGGCGGAAGAUGUGACCCAACUACAGUGCCCUAUGAAUCACAAGUAGAGCCGGGAAAACCAUUAUAAUCUUAUUUCUACAAGCGCUAAUCAGACAUUUGACGCAGGGAUUCCAUUCCUUUUUAUAAUUGCGCUUCAAUGUUUGUAUUUAUAUUAAUCUAAACGCGAAUAUACUUUCUCAUGCAUUCCCUUGCAUAUUGAGUAUAUUCUCGGUGGCUGGCACAACGCUUUACGGACCGCCCACACAAAAGAACUUUAAUCCAAUCAAUUUGUUUAGCAUACAUAUGUAUGUAUGUGUACAUACAUACACACAUGUAUUAGAGAGCACACUGUAGUAUAAGUAUGACGCAGUAAUCUUUGGGCAAAGCACACAGUGAAAUGAAGAGCAACGGCACGAUGGGAGCUACUCAACUCAAACCAAUCUUGGUUCUAAACUGAUGAUGCUGUGGCGAACUUGUAGUCAAUAUAAACAUAAGUAUAUACAUACAUAGUACAUAUACCAUAUACAUAUGUUGUAGAUGUGUAUGUGCCUGUGUGUGUGGGUUUUCUUUGAAGAACGCGAUGCGUCAGAAGCUUGUUUGGAUGCUGCAUAAAACUUACCGUAAUGAAUUGGAUACAAAUACGGGUCCGUUCCAGACGUACGAUUCUUCUGUAUAUUCUACAGUUGUUGAAACCGCUCUAAAAAUUCUCCGGGACCGACUGUUAUACUAUAAGGAUCUGAAAUCCUAAAAUACAUUUGCUACGACAGCGUUGUCUACCAAAUUGCAAGUAUUAAGCUGAUAUGUUGUUGGCCAAGACACACAUGGCUAAAAUGUGUGCAAACAUUUAUGGCAAGCUCAACAGCCGAUUACGGAAUACGGCAACAACAAUAAUUAUUGUGAUGAAUCACUGGCGAGAAUUUGCGCUUUCGGCUUCACUGGCGUCUAAGUAAACAACGAGCGGCGUUAAAAAUAAACGUUAAAGUUAAUGCAAAUUGCUUAUUGUAUAAGUUUGCUGAAUACGUUUGCGCAUACAUAUCUACACAGCGCAUGCAAUUUGCACAGCUAACAGUGUGAACGGACUGUGGAGAACAGAGUAUUUAAAGUCACUUUUUGACUAAGGACAAUGGACCCAUAAAAUAUUAAAACCGUCAGUCGAAUAUAACUUGCAAAUACGCCUUCCUCAAUAGCUUGAUAAGUUUCUUCGAUAUAAUAGAACAUCACCGCUUAUACUAAUAAUAUGGAACGGUUUCGGAGUGGUAUCAACUACAGAUAUAUGUAUUAUAUAUAAAAGCAAUAAUUUCCAGGAGACACGAAUUUCUGUAAAUGGAAUCGAGUCGGAUUUAUAUUAAUCUAAAAGCGGUUAUGUGUAUAUUAUAUACCUAAUUUGUCGAGUGCGUGACUCGGUGGGUCUUGAGCAUAAACACAGGCAAAGUGAAAAAUAUAAAUUUAGAAAAAUUAACACUCUUCGACAGAAUUGUCAAUAAAAUUUUUCUCCUUUGUUUUAAAAAAUACUGAAAUACUUGUAAAAAGAGUACUGAUGUUUAUUACGCCACAAUAUUUAUUAUAUAAGAUUUAUUUAUUGUGAAAGAUACGUUUAAUAUAAUGUAUAAAAAAAGUAUGUAUUUUUAGGUUAUAAUUGCUGAAAAAACCAAAAAAAUAGUAAAAAUACUAAAAUGCACAUCUAGUGUGAACACCUUAAAAUUUCUUUAAAGAAAACUACUCGACGAUAUUUUUUUAAAACAUGAGGAUAAUAGUCAUAAUUAAUGAAAAUACA